rnacentral:tRNA from 1 species
GCGUCGCCGGGCCUCAGGAGCGAGGCUACCGCGCUCGCGCCGCCGUUGUCGAGCGCGGGGAUUUCCGCCGGAGUUCCCCCCCCUCCGGCGUCGCGCCA